rnacentral:rRNA from 1 species
AACUUUCAACAACGGAUCUCUUGGUUCUGGCAUCGAUGAAGAACGCAGCGAAAUGCGAUAAGUAAUGUGAAUUGCAGAAUUCCGUGAAUCAUCGAAUCUUUGAACGCACAUUGCGCCCCCUGGUAUUCCGGGGGGCAUGCCUGUCCGAGCGUCAUUGCAGACCAAUCAAGCCCA